rnacentral:rRNA from 1 species
CCCAGACUCCUACGGGAGGCAGCAGUGGGGAAUAUUGCACAAUGGGGGAAACCCUGAUGCAGCGACGCCGCGUGAGUGAAGAGGUAAUUCGUUAUGUAGAGCUCUGUCAGCAGGGAAGAAACAGACGGUACCUGAGUAAGAAGCCCCGGCUAACUACGUGCCAGCAGCCGCGGUAAUACGUAGGGGGCAAGCGUUAUCCGGAUUUACUGGGUGUAAAGGGAGCGUAGACGGCGAAGAAAGUCUGAAGUGAAAGGCCGCGGCUUAACCGCGGAACUGCUUUGGAAACUUUUUUGCUGGAGUACCGGAGAGGUAAGCGGAAUUCCUAGUGUAGCGGUGAAAUGCGUAGAUAUUAGGAGGAAUACCAGUGGCGAAGGCGGCUUACUGGACGGUAACUGACGUUGAGGCUCGAAAGCGUGGGGAGCAAACAGGAUUAGAUACCCCAGUAA